rnacentral:rRNA from 1 species
AAAUGAAUUGACGGGGGCCCGCACAAGCGGCGGAGCGUGCGGUUUAAUUCGACGCAACGCGUAGAACCUUACCAGGGCUUGACAUGCACCUGCAGAGCCGUGAAAGCGGUUGGCCUUAGAGGGUGGUGCACAGGUGCUGCAUGGCUGUCGUCAGCUCGUGUCGUGAGAUGUUGGGUUAAGUCCCGCAACGAGCGCAACCCUCGUGGUUAGUUGCCGAUGUUUCUAGCCAGACUGCCGGUAGCAAGCCGGAGGAAGGUGGGGAUGAUGUCAAGUCAGCAUGGCCCUUACGUCCUGGGCUACACGCACGCUACAAUGGCCGGGACAAUGGGCUGCCAAACCGCAAGGUGGAGCGAAUCCCACAAACCCGGUCUCAGUUCAGAUCGCGGGCUGCAACUCGCCCGCGUGAAGGUGGAGUCGCUAGUAACCGCGGGUCAGCACUACCGCGGUGAAUACGUUCCCGGGCCUUGUACACACCGCCCGU